GAAUUAAGGGUCAAGGAAAAUAUUGUUGCUAAGAAGCUGGAGAGACUGAAGAUACUCAAGACUGAUGGGCCAGAACCUCUUGCAUCCAUACCUGUGACAAAGGAAAAAAAUGAAUUCAGGAUUAAAUGAAAGCAUAAGAAGCAAAGACAAGCUGGGACAAAAUGAAGUGGUUCAACCUACUGGCAA